rnacentral:rRNA from 1 species
GAGGAAGUAAAAGUCGUAACAAGGUUUCCGUAGGUGAACCUGCGGAAGGAUCAUUAUCAUACAACGGAGGCACCUAGGGCUGUCGCUGACCUUUACAGGUUGUGCACGCCCAAAGUGCUCUCUCACAUCCAUCUCACCCUUCUGUGCAUCACCGCGUGGGGCCCCCCCCGUAUUGGGCUUGUUCCGAUCGGGGGUUCUGCGUUUUUACAACAGACACCUUUUAAUGCAUGUGUAGAAUGUCUUUGCGAUCACACGCAAUCAAUACAACUUUUAACAACGGAUCUCUUGGCUCUCGCAUCGAUGAAGAACGCAGCGAAAUGCGAUACGUAAUGUGAAUUGCAGAAUUCAGUGAAUCAUCGAAUCUUUGAACGCACCUUGCGCCCCUUGGUAUUCCGAGGGGCACACCCGUUUGAGUGUCGUGAAUACCCUCAACCUUCUUGGUUUCUCGACCAGGAAGGCUUGGAUUUUGGAGGUUUUUCUUGCUGGCUUUCAUUUGCAAGUCAGCUCCUCCUAAAUGAAUUAGUGGGAUCCGCUUUGCCGAUCCUUGACGUGAUAAGUAUGCUUCUACGUCUUGGGUUUUGCACUGUCGCAAUGGAGCCUGCUUCCAACGGUCUUCAAAUGAAGACGAUGUUCGAGUUGCGACUCGACCUCACCGACCUUGACCUCAAAUCGGGUGAGACUACCCGCUGAACUUAAGCAUAUC